AAACCCGUGAGGGAAUGUCUGAAGGAAGCCCAAGCGCAAAGGUGCGAGCCGACGAACAGACAAAAUCGCCGGGUGCGAUUUGGAACAGAUAGGGUAAAUGCGGCGGUUAUGGACUGAAAGUUCAUGUU
rfam:Thiorhodospira sibirica ATCC 700588 ctg263, whole genome shotgun sequence.